rnacentral:tRNA from 1 species
GGAGCCGUCGCAUAGUGGUCUAGUGCGCCUCACUGCUAACGAGGUAGGGUCUAAAAGCCCUCGAGGGUUCAAAUCCCUCCGGCUCCGCCA